rfam:Vigna angularis cultivar Jingnong 6 scaffold282_97, whole genome shotgun sequence.
AGCCGUGUGAUGAGUACAUAGCGAAUUAUUCUUUCGCCUUUUACUAAAGAAUACCGUGGGCUCAUCACUAUAUGCGGCAUACGCAACUUUUUGAAAGGGUUUUCUUAUGACACCCU